rnacentral:tRNA from 1 species
GGGCGGGUGGCGGAACGGCAGACGCGCACGGCUUAGGACCGUGUGCCGCAAGGCGUGGGGGUUCAAGUCCCCCCCCGCCCA